GGGGGGAAAAAAAAGAAAAAAAAGGGAAAAAAAAAAGAGAGGAAAAAGAAAAAAAAAGGCAGGAAAAAAAAAAAAAGAGAGGAGAGGGGCCCAUCUGGCUUCUCAUCAGCUUUGUCAAGUCUUGCAUACGCUAAAAUGCUAAUGACCUAGAUAGCUCAUGCAAAAUGCAGCAGAGAGAGGAGGGAGCAGCGAGGGAGGGGAGGAGGGAGGGGGAAAGCAGAGGGAGGGGGAGAGCCCGGCUGCGGCGCCCUCUCCCCUCCGCCCCCCCCUCCCCCCCCCCCCACCGCCCGCUGCCCCAAUGCACCUUGCUGGGGACGAGCGGGCUUUGAUGGGAAAGGUCACCCGGGUGGGGUGCGGGGGGGCGGCGAACAGCCCCGCAUCCCCCCCCAUCGCCAUCCCCAUCCCUCGGGGGGGGGGGUGGUGGGGGUGAGGGGAGGCUGUGCCCGCAGCGCAUCCCGACCCCGCAUUGAGCCCCCAAGCCCCCCAGCCCAAAUCCCGGUAAAAAGAAGGAAAAUACCCCCUGCUCCGGUCCCUCGAUGCGGCGUAAUCCCGAGGAAAGCGGUUUUGGGGCGAAGGUGGGGGGGGUUAAAAUGGAGCCCCCCCCCCCAAGCGCUCUGCGCGCUACGCGGAGGUGAAAAAUUAAGAAAAAAUAAUAAUAAUGAAAAAAAAUAUAUAUGAUAAUAACAAUAAUAACGAUGAUAAUGAUAAUAAUAAUAAUAAAAAGAGAUUAAAACUGAGAAGAGAUGGGCGGAGGGGAGCGAAGCGGCGGCCGCGGGUGCGGGCGGAGGUGCGCACGGAGCGCGCAGCGCGGAGCUGCCGGGCGGGAGCCGCGGAGAGAGGAGCUGUCAGCGGCGCCUUCUCAUUUAUCAUUAGCCAGCCCUAAUCUUGCUCGCUGUCCUCCUUCGCCGUUCUGCUGAUGGCGGUUGGGGAAAUUAUUGUCAUUAUUAUUAAUAAUGCUAAUGAUAAUGAAGCCCAUCCCGUCUCACUGUGUUCAAGGGGGAUGAAACGCACCAUGUGGAUAUCUGCACUUAUACAGAGGGAUGAAGCACACGACUGCGUAUCCACCUGUUCUAUGCACUCAGUGCCCCCCCGCCAUCGCCGCUCUCACCCAUCGCACCCCAUCCCCAUCUCAGGGCACCACACAGCAUAACCCAGGCUCAGCCCCUGAGGCAGAGACAGGAAAUCCUUUCUCCCUGCCCGGUGCUUUCCUACCAAGGGCAUGUGCCCUCCGUGGGAUAGCAACACAGACGGCUGCACCGCACUGCUGAGAUCAUUUGGGCGCCGCACGGCGCUGCGCCGCGCUCCUCAUAUUCCUUCCGACUGCAUCAGGAGAAACGCUUUGCUGAUUUUCUUCCUAUUUUUUUUUUAUUCCUAAGGCCUAGGAGCUGCUGGGAAAAAUCUGCACGGCCGCUCCCCCCCCCCCCUCCCCCGUGAUGUGCUGGGAAUGUCGGUGCCGUGAGCCGCGGCCCUUUCUCCUUUGCGCCGCACCGCUCUGUGUCCAUUACGUUAAUGGCAUUUCAUCCCAGUGCACUGAACUGCAGGAGUUCUCAAGGAAACACUCAAGAUCACAUGGCGAGGUCCCUUCCAAGCCAAGC
ensembl:lncRNA